UACGUAGGGUGCAAGCGUUGUCCGGAAUUAUUGGGCGUAAAGAGCUCGUAGGCGGUCUGUCGCGUCGGAUGUGAAAACCCAGGGCUCAACCCUGGGCCUGCAUUCGAUACGGGCAGACUAGAGUUCGGUAGGGGAGACUGGAAUUCCUGGUGUAGCGGUGAAAUGCGCAGAUAUCAGGAGGAACACCGGUGGCGAAGGCGGGUCUCUGGGCCGAUACUGACGCUGAGGUGCGAAAGCGUGGGGAGCAAACAGG
rnacentral:rRNA from 1 species